GACNUGGGCUACACACGUGCUACAAUGGGAAGUACAACGAGUUGCGAAGUCGCGAGGCUAAGCUAAUCUCUUAAAGCUUCUCUCAGUUCGGAUUGCAGGCUGCAACUCGCCUGCAUGAAGCCGGAAUCGCUAGUAAUCGCGGAUCAGCACGCCGCGGUGAAUACGUUCCCGGGCCUUGUACACACCGCCCGUCACACCACGAGAGUUUGUAACACCCGAAGUCGGUGAGGUAACCUUUUUGGAGCCAGCCGCCUAAGGUGGGA
rnacentral:rRNA from 1 species